CAGAAUGGGAUAGCUCAGUAAGUAGAGCAUGAGAUUCUUAAUCUCAGGUGUUGUGGGUUUGAGCCCCAUGUUGGGUGAAAGA
rnacentral:tRNA from 1 species